rnacentral:rRNA from 1 species
GACAGCAGCAGCCACGGUAAUACGGAGGGUGCAAGCGUUAAUCGGAGUUACUGGGCGUAAAGCGCACGCAGGCGGUCUGUCAAGUCAGAUGUGAAAUCCCCGGGCUUAACCUGGGAACUGCAUUUGAAACUGGCAGGCUAGAGUCUUGUAGAGGGGGGUAGAAUUCCAGGUGUAGCGGUGAAAUGCGUAGAGAUCUGGAGGAAUACCGGUGGCGAAGGCGGCCCCCUGGACAAAGACUGACGCUCAGGUGCGAAAGCGUGGGGAGCAAACAGGAUUAGAUACCCGAGUAGUCCCUGUCUCUUAUAC